UACGAAGGGGGCGAGCGUUGUUCGGAUUUACUGGGCGUAAAGGGCGCGCAGGCGGCCAUUCAAGUCAGGCGUGAAAGCCCCGGGCUUAACCUGGGAGGUGCGCUUGGGGACUGGAUGGCUAGAGAUCGGGAGAGGAGAGUGGAAUUCCCAGUGUAGAGGUGAAAUUCGUAGAUAUUCGCAAGAACACCAGUGGCGAAGGCGGCUCACUGGCCCGGUACUGACGCUGAGGUGCGAAAGCGUGGGGAGCAAACAGG
rnacentral:rRNA from 1 species